CUACGGGUGGCUCCAGUGGGGAAUUUUGGACAAUGGGCGCAAGCCUGAUCCAGCCAUUCCGCGUGAGUGAAGAAGGCCUUCGGGUUGUAAAGCUCUUUCGCAAGGGAAGAAAACUUAUCCUCUAACAUAGGGUGAGGUUGACGGUACCUUGAUAAGAAGCACCGGCUAACAACGUGCCAGCAGCCGCGGUAAUACGUAGGGUGCGAGCGUUAAUCGGAAUUACUGGGCGUAAAGCGUGCGCAGGCUGUUUUGUAAGUCAGAUGUGAAAUCCCCGAGCUCAACUUGGGAACUGCGUUUGGAACUACAAGACUAGAAUAUGUCAGAGGGGGGUAGAAUUCCAUGUGUAGCAGUGAAAUGCGUAGAGAUGUGGAGGAAUACCAAUGGCGAAGGCAGCCCCCUGGGAUAAUAUUGACGCUCAUGCACGAAAGCGUGGGGAGCAAACAGGAUUAGAUACCCCUGUAGUC
rnacentral:rRNA from 1 species